GACGAACGCUGGCGGCGUGCUUAACACAUGCAAGUCGAACGGAAAGGCCCUGCUUUUGUGGGGUGCUCGAGUGGCGAACGGGUGAGUAACACGUGAGUAACCUGCCCUUGACUUUGGGAUAACUUCAGGAAACUGGGGCUAAUACCGGAUAGGAGCUCCUGCUGCAUGGUGGGGGUUGGAAAGUUUCGGCGGUUGGGGAUGGACUCGCGGCUUAUCAGCUUGUUGGUGGGGUAGUGGCUUACCAAGGCUUUGACGGGUAGCCGGCCUGAGAGGGUGACCGGCCACAUUGGGACUGAGAUACGGCCCAGACUCCUACGGGAGGCAGCAGUGGGGAAUAUUGCACAAUGGGCGGAAGCCGGAUGCAGCAACGCCGCGUGCGGGAUGACGGCCUUCGGGUAGUAAACCGCUUUCGCCUGUGACGAAGCGUGAGUGACGGUAAUGGGUAAAGAAGCACCGGCUAACUACGU
rnacentral:rRNA from 1 species